rnacentral:lncRNA from 10 species
AGGAAGAGAAAAGGGGAAGGAGCGUCUAGGUGAAAUGAGCUGUGUAGUCCUUUAGAGCCUCUGGACAGAAGGUCUGAUGAAUACAUGUAAAGCUUAUUGAGCCUCAGAACUCUAACUACAGGGUUUCAAUAGCACAGAAACUCUGAGAAGAAAAAGAAUGUCAAAGUUCCUCCCUAAGGAGACUGAUUAGAUGCAAGUGUGUCCGGAAUUGGUGGGUUCUUGGUCUGACUUCAAGAAUGAAGCCGCGGACCCUCACGGUGCUGCUGUUUUACUAAGAGGUAUAUGAAUAAUGGAAAUGCCUCCUGUAAUCCUAGCACUUUGGGAGGCCGAGGCGGGCGGAUCACCUGAGGUUGGGAGUUCGAGACCAGCCUGACCAACAUGGGGAAACCCCCUCUCUACUAAAAAUACAAAAUUAGCUGGGCGUGGUGGUCCAUGCCUGUAAUCCCAGCUACUUGGGAGGCUGAGGCAGGAGAAUCGCUUGAACCCAGGAGGCGGAGGUUGAGGUGAGCCGAGAUCAUGCCAUUGCACUGUAGCC